rnacentral:tRNA from 1 species
GGCAAUGUAGCAUAAUGGAAAGAGCCCUGGACUGAAAGUCAGAGGACUUGAGUUCAAAUCCCAUCUUUGCCA